rnacentral:rRNA from 1 species
AUUGAACGCUGGCGGAAUGCUUUACACAUGCAAGUCGAGCGGCAGCGCGGGGCAACCUGGCGGCGAGCGGCGAACGGGUGAGUAACACGUCGGAACGUGCCCAGACGUGGGGGAUAGCCCGGCGAAAGCCGGAUUAAUACCGCAUACGAUCUAAGGAUGAAAGCGGGGGACUCGCAAGGGCCUCGCGCGUUUGGAGCGGCCGAUGGCAGAUUAGGUAGUUGGUGGGGUAAAGGCUUACCAAGCCUGCGAUCUGUAGCUGGUCUGAGAGGAUGAUCAGCCACACUGGGACUGAGACACGGCCCAGACACCUACGGGUGGCAGCAGUGAGGAAUUUUCCGCAACGGCCGAAUGGCUGACGGAGCGACACAGCGUGGAGGAUGAAGGGUUUCGGCUCGUAGACUCCUUUUCUGAAAGAAUAAGGUCUGAAGUUAUUUCAGGAAUAAGCACCGGCUAACUACGUG